AGACCACGACUUUAGGACGCGACGCGUUCGC
rnacentral:sRNA from 1 species